ensembl:lncRNA
AUCUCCAUAUAAAUGGGCUGAGAAGCGUCGGGCUUUCUCAGCUCCCAGGUGCAUGAAGCAGGGACAUCCAAGAGGAUGAUGGCAGCUCACUUCUUGCUGCAGUUCCUCCUCUUCGGGACUCUACUCGUCCCUGUGUACCUGCAGAUGGAAGGAUGUGAUUUUCUCCAGGAUGCAGUCAAGGGCAAUUUCUCAGUGACUGUGACACCUGAGGAGUACGUGGCCAACACAACCUACCAGGUUACAAUAAGAGAUGACGGAAACAGCACCACCAUCAGAAAUGUGACCAUGUAUUUACUUCAAGCCUUGUCCUCUGAAAAUACCACUGCAGGAGAAUGGAAUGUAGUAGAAAAACUAAACUGCAGUAAUGUUGCGACAGCAAUGCUAAAUACCACUCAGGAAGAAGCAGCAGCAAACUGGACAUCUCCAAACAGUAACAUAUCUUCCGUGGAAAUAAGUUCCACGAACAGAUCCAACCACAGCCUCGACAACCCCUGACUCCGUCUCCGCAGUCCAGAGCAGCUGCUUCUUCAUCGCCGUCACUCAGCUGCUGAUGCUCCUCACUACAAGCAAACUGCUCUCCUAGGAGAUGGGGAGAGGAGAUGACCCAGCUGUGGUGCUCCUCUCCUCACCCACGGCACAGGUGGGAGGGCAGGCAGCUGAUCUACUCAGGAAAAUCACUCACUUCUUAUGCGUAUCAAGAUGAUAACUGCACUUCUACAUUAGAUUAUAAGGGUCUAUGGCCACAGAGCUGAUCUCCCCUUACUCCCCUCAACCAGGGCCAGCACACACAGCAAGAUUAGCAAGUCAGAGAUCACUCUGGUCAGAACAGCUGGAGAAGGUGAUUUAGGAGCAGACCCCUUCUAACCAGGGGCACCAGAUGGGUUAAUCCUUUCCUCAACACCUGGGGUCCUGUGAAGCACAAAAAGAAAAGCAUGAAAAUGUUCAAGAGAGGGGAAAGGCCCCUCCCCAUCCCAGUACUGGUGUGUGCUGAGGAGCUGAAGGAGAGGUCUGUGAGCCACAGCCAGGGCAGAGCUAUACUGUGUCCUGCAAAGCUCCCUUGGUUUGGUUCUGGCUCUCUGGAAUGGUGGAGUGGGUGGGUUUUUUUCCUCCUUUUUUUGUUUGUUUGGGUUUUUUUUUGUUUUUAAUCAGCAGCAGUUCCUGCUGUGGGAUGAGAUUGGAUGGGCCCCUGAAUGUCUUGAUUUUAUUAUUAUUGUUUGUAUUUUUAUACGGAUGGAGUUUAUGAAGGAAAUUUCAAACUUCUGGAAAGUAAUUACUAUUAUUAUUUUUUUUUUUUCUGAAGCGAAUCUAAAUAAACCAAAGAAUGAAAGCUGGCUGUCGCACUGAGCAGUGUUUUCUGGCUGGGACGCGGCUGGGCUCCGGCCCUGACCAGCACAGUCUGCCCCUGCAGCUCAUGGCCAUGUUUAAGGGGAAUUUGCUUUCACCUGUCCUUGAACCCAGGGCACAGCCCUCAGCCCUGCGGGCUCCAGAGCCUGGCUGCCUCCCCAUGGUGUGCCCCUCUGCUCCCCACUGAGGCUCACAUUGCUCUGAAGCGGACAUAUCUCACUCGAGUCCACUUUUGUUCAGAUUUUGUCUCAAAAAGCCGUGAUUUGCCUCAAAGAAG